AGGUGUUUCCCUUCAGAAAAUGGAGAGUGAAGACAGAAGAGUGAGCGUGCCUGAUGGAAUUUUACCCUUACUGAUGUGUAACCAGCCGUGUCUGCUUCAGAGAUGAGUCGGUAGCAAGAGAAACCCAACCCUGCAGUUUUGGCAGGCUCAACAGAAGAAAUCAAUUUCACCAGAAGAUGAAUGAGGAGUGUGAGUUGUGAGCAAACUAGUUCAGUGUAUGCGCACAAGAGAGACAAAUGGCUUGGUAGCAACAUCUAUCACAUACCUGUCUGGAUAAAUUCUCCGAAUCCUGUUUUGAUAUGAUGAAAAAGUGGGCUGAGACAAAAAUUAAAUCAAUCAGCAUGAAAAUUCCCA